rnacentral:rRNA from 1 species
GUAGGGUGCGAGCGUUAUCCGGAAUCAUUGGGCGUAAAGAGCUCGUAGGCGGUUCAGCAAGUCGGCUGUGAAAUUCCGAGGCUCAACCUCGGAACUGCAGUCGAUACUGCUGUGACUCGAGUCCGGUAGAGGAGAAUGGAAUUCAGGGUGUAGCGGUGAAAUGCGCAGAUAUCCUGAGGAACACCAGUAGCGAAGGCGGUUCUCUGGGCCGGUACUGACGCUGAGGAGCGAAAGCGUGGGCAGCAAACAGGAUUAGAUACCCUGGUAGUCCCACGCCCGUAAACGUUGGACACUAGGUGUGGCGUUCCGACCAACGGGUUGCCGUGCCGAAGCUAACGCAUUAAGUGUCCCGCCUGGGGAGUACGGCCGCAAGGCUA